CCAGCUUUGACAGAAACGAUUAGUUUGCAUGGCGUGUUCCUCUCGCCGUAAAUCUCGCAUCUCCGUUCGUCCUCGGCCUCCACCGUUUCUUCUCCCUCCAGUCGUCCACCAUCCACACCUCCAUCCUGCACCACCACCACCUCCCUGGCGGCUGGCCGCUUUGCUGGCUGCCGCAUCCGUCGCCACCCAAUGUCGUGACUUGUGAGCCCGUGAUGCCAGAGUGGUCCGUGCUGGCAGAUCCAGAUCCAUGGACGCCGGAGCCGGGGCUGAUGACGCCGGAGCCGGAGCCCGGAGGAGACCAUGACGCUGCCGCGCCGGGGCUACUUUGGAGAUCGUGAGGACCCCUGGAGGAGCCUACCUUAGGCCCUGUGCGCCGAAGCGCGACACCAUCUGAUUCCAGUUAGUCGCUUGCUUCCAAUCCAAUUGGAGAGCUACACAUGAUUUCAUUAAGAAAGAAGUUAUCCACUGCAUAACGUGUUAAAGGAAGUUAAAAACAUUGGAGUAUUGAAUUGAGAUUUAAGCAACCUUUGACUACAUAAAGAUAUACCCUUGGAAGUAGUUUUGUGCUCCAGGACUUCAAAGACCCAUCUCCCUGGCAUUUUGAAAAUCUGCCAUCCUCAUGAUAUGGAUGGCACACAAGAAUAAUGCUAUGACAAAAUUCAUAUAUUCAUGGAGGAAAUGCUACUUAAAAUAAGUAUGUUACAUAAAGGAGUGAACAGGCAGGAGUGGCAGAAGGCCAAUCUUCGCAAGUGUGAGGGCAUGGAAGCAGGUUAGGUAUCCGACUGUUAUCCCCUCUGUUUCUGAUUUAUAUUCGUGCAAUUUGUUCAAAGUGAUGCUGUAUUUAUUUCUUUAUGCUAACAAUCGAAUCAAUUGCACACUAAAUGCAUAAUUUUUCAUAUCGGUAUAGUUAUACUACUUUGCUUUGCUUUGCAUUUAUGUUGAAGACAAGUAUGCUGUUUUGCUUUUCUGAAUGCUGAUAACUCAAAAUGAAUCUAUUUAGUACCAUGCGACUGUGUUUCUUCCACCUAUGCCUUAAGUCGAAAUCUGUGUGUUUUAGCCCCUCUCAAAUCGUACUCAUACCCGCUUGGCCUGAAAGUUCUUUAAGUUAUACUCCUAUAUCUGAUAUCAUGUGUUUUAUGGUUGUACCUUACUCAUAUAUUUUUGUCGUAGCCUAAGAUUUUGGAACUCUGUUAUGCACUUAUGCAGACUCAUAGUUAUUUAUGAAUAUAACCUUUGCUAUCGUUCCCUAGCAACCACUGAUAGUAUAAUCUCUUUUUACAUGGUAUGUAUAAUACCAUUUUUAUUAGCCCAUAUAACCUGAUUUAAAUGCUGGCCUCCUCAGUCUUAUCCUUUCCUUUUCCUACUUAUUUUCUGGCUUCUGGUUGAUAUUUGCUAUUCUAAGAAAAUUAUUUUUAUCUGAAAAGCAUGUCUGCCUCCUGACCAACAUUAGUUUUGUCAGGAACACCUGUUGUUCAUUGCAUUAUCAUUUUCAUAUUGCAGUGGUUGGUAGCUGCUCAUCACAUGUCAGGUAUGUUUGUUCAUCUAUUGUAUAUGUGUGGAGAUGGAAAUCAUAGGAUUAUCUUUCUCCAGAGGAGAUCUGCCCCCUGGCGUCCUCACUUUUUUCUCUUUUCAGAUUUAGUUUUAGUUGAAUAUGGAGUUAAUCUUUUUGCUAAUAUAGCAGUAUCAAUAAUUUACAGUGAUCGAUCACUGAGCAGUAGGAUAUUACAAUACUUUCUUGCCUUCACUUAUUCCCGUGCCAACAUGUCAUGCCUGAGAUAGAAUGAAGAUGUAUGACAGCCUUCCUAUAGCACCAACUUUUCUAAUUAUCUAUUGAUAUCAGGAACCAUGUUGUGAAGUAAUGAAUGCCAAUCAAGGUAACUGAAUAGCUGUCGUGUCCUCUCUUUCUUCCCGUUGCCAUCACCUUGAGCAUAUCAGCCACCAUAAUUGACCAUUACUGUUGUAAAACUGGACAGAUACGUGAGAGCAUUACCAAUACUAGAAACUACAUGUAGUUUCUUGUCAAGCGCCUCAGCGCCCAACGACGCCGGACCGUGGCUACGUAACUCGUAGUCGCGCUCCAGGCCUUCACCGCCUCAGCCUCCAAGUCUGUUACACGGCAUAUAUAGCCAAAGACCCAACCAAUCUCUCCUAUAAUUAAGGCAUGCAAAAGGAAACUAGAUCUUAUCUUUCUAAACUGAACUGCUGGCGGUGGCCCCUGCCGUAGCCGCGCGCCCUGCAGCCCUCCUGGCGUCACGACGGCGCCUAUAGGUGCGUCCGUACAUGACAUCUCUCCCCCCCUCGACGACCAGCUCGUCCUCGAGCUAGAACUGUGGGAACUUGUCGCGGAAGUCUGCAACAUCCUCCCACGUGGCAUCAGCAGCCGACUGGCCCUUCCAGCGGAUGAGCACCUGCCGAACACCCCUUGCUAGCCAGUAGCGAACAGCCUCCUCAGGUUCUGGAGUCACCGCCCCAUGAUGAGUGGUUGGGAGAGGAGGUGGUGUAGCUGGUGGUGCGCCGACGAACUUUUUGAGAAGGCCGACGUGGAAGACAUCAUGCAACUUGGCCCGAGGAGGCAGCGUGAGGCGAACAGCCACCGGGUUGAUGCACUCAGUGACUUGGUAGGGCCCGACGAAGCGCGCCUUCAACUUGCCCCUGGACGCCUGAGGCAGGGAGGAAGCUGCCCGUUGGCGAAGGCGCAGCAGCACCCAGUCACCCACAACAUAGGAGACCGGUCGGUGCAGGCGAUCGUAGAACUUCUUCUGGACAGCCUGGGCUUGUUCCCGGCGAUAGCGGACAUCCGCUAGGAGCUCCUCUCGUGCAGCCAUCAUCUUGGCCACCGCAGCCACCCGCGUCUCUCCAGGCUCAUAAGAGCGGAUGGAGGGGGGGUCCCUGCCGUAGACCACCUUGAAGGGGGUGUCCUUGAGCGACGAUUGGUACGCCUUGUUGUAGACAUACUCAGCCCAUGGCAGCCAACGCAGCCACUGCCGUGGCCGAUCCCAAGUGAAACACCGGAGGUACAUGACGAUGACCUUGUUGGCCGCCUCCGUUUGGCCAUCGGACUGUGGGUGGAAGGCGGACGUCAUGUGCAGCUUGGGCCCGGUGAGUCGCAUCAGCUCCCGCCAGAAAGUGGAGAUGAACACGGAAUCCCGGUCGGACACCAUGGACUGAGGGAUCCCAUGGAGGCGAACGAUCUCGCUGAAAAACGCCUGGGCCACAGACUCUGCACUGUAGGGGUGAGCCAGUGGAAUAAAAUGACAAUAUUUGCUAAAUCUGUCAACCACUGUAAGAAUCACCGAUUUCCCCCCAACGCGAGGCAGCGCCUCGAUGAAAUCCAAACCAAUGUUUGUCCACACCGCUUGAGGAACGGGCAGAGGCAGCAGCAGACCCGCCGGGUGCAGAUGGUCAGACUUGUUGCGUUGACAUGUGGCGCAGGCGCAGACGAAAUCCUGGACCAUGCGGCGCAUGGCUGGGAAGUAGAACUCCCGGCGGAGGCGGUGGAGAGUCCGCUGCACUCCUUCAUGGCCGUCGUCGUGCGUGGCAGCCACCACUUCGAGCAGCAGUGGUGAAUCAAGCGGAAUAUACAGCCGGUCUGCAUAAGCCACCAUGCCAUCCAGCAGGGACCAAGGCGCCCCCCUGGUGCAUGCGGCUAUCUCCUCCUUGAGAGCGACCAGGGCGGGAUCUUGGCGUUGAGCAUGACGAAGACGGUCCACUAAGUCGAAGCGGGGAGUGGACAGCGCUAAGAUCGAGCCCUCCUCGCUGGUGUCGCGGCGGGACAGCGCGUCCGCAACGAUGUUCGUGGCGCCUGGCUUGUACUCCACCGAGAAGUCGAAGCCGAGGAGCUUGCCCACCCAAAGGUGCUGCGGGAUCGUCGAGAGGUGCUGGUCGAGGAGGAAUUUGAGGCUGUAGUGGUCGGUGCGGACGAGGAACGUGCGCCCCCACAGGUACGGCCUCCAGUGGCGCACGGCGUGCACCAGCCCAAUGAGCUCCCGCUCAUAUGCUGCUAGAGCGCGGUGGCGGGGGGCGAUCGGCCUGCCGAAAUAGGCGAUCGGGUGUUGCUCCUGCAGUAAGACCGCAACAAAACCGUGCGUGGAGGCGUCGCACUCCACGAUGAAGACCUUGGUGAAGUCGGGCAACGCUAACACCGGGGCUGAUGUCACGGCCGCCUUGAGUGCCUGGAAGGCUGCCUGGGCAUCAUCGUUCUAGGAGAAGCCCUCUUUCUUCAGCAAGGCAGUGGGAGGUGCCGCGAUCUUACCGUAGUCGUGGACGAACUUGCGGUAGUAUCCAGCGAGGCCCAAGAAGCCACGCACUGCACGCGCCGAGCGAGGGGCCGGCCAUUCGUGAAUGGACUACACCCUGGCCGGGUCCAUGGCCACAUCGUGGGCAGAGAUGAUAUGGCCCAGAUAUGCCACGGAAGGUGACCCGAAGAUGCACUUGGAUCGCUUGACAGAGAGAACGUGGCGGUGGAGUUCGGCGAGGACAGCACGGAGGUGCCUCAAGUGAUCUGCCCAAGUCUUGCUGUAAAUCAAUAUAUUAUCAAAAAAGACAAGGACAAACCGACGGAGAAAGGGGCGCAACACGUCGUUCAUGAGCGCCUGGAACGUCGCCGGUGCGUUGCAUAAUCCGAACGGCAUCACCAGGAACUCAUAAAAGCCGUCGUGCGUACGAAAUGCCGUUUUAUGUACAUCAGCCGACCGCAUCCGGACUUGGUGGUAGCCGGAACGGAGGUCCAGCUUAGUGAAGAACUGCGCACCAUGCGGCUCAUCGAGGAGUUCGUCGACGACGGGGAUGGGGAAUGCAUCCUUGAUGGUGAGGGAGUUAAGGGCGCGGUAGUCCACGCAAAACCGCCAAGCCCCAUCCUAUUUCUUGACCAGCAGUACCGGCGACGAGAACGCCGAGUCGCUACGGCGGACGAUGCCUUGGUCGAGCAUGGCGGCGCAUUGCCGCUCCUGCUCGUCCUUAUGCGCCGCUGGGUAGCGGUAGGGCCGAAUUGCCACAGGUGUAGAGCCGGGCUUGAGGACGAUGGCGUGAUCCCGUGCUCGCUGCGGUGGCAGCCCCGCUGGUUCGGCGAACACCCCUGCGAAGGAGUGCAGCAGCUCCUCGAGGAGGGCGUCCGGUGUCGAGGUGGCUGCGAGCAGCGGUGGCCGACGGUCAGCGACGUCCGACCAGGAGACCCCCCGGCCCUGGUGCUGAAAGGAGACGGUGCGGUCGACGAAGUCCCACACCACCCGGCCAAUGGUGACCAUCCAGUGAGUCCCCAAGACGAGGUCAUAGCUGGCGAGCGGCAUGACGAAGAGGUCGAUGAAGAACGUCUCGCCCUAGAUGAUGACCGGGCACGGCGGAUAACGCUCGGGCUGGUGACGCGCUCGCCGUUAGCCAUAGUGGCCGUGAGGCGCGGGCGCGGCUGGACAGGCAAACUAGUGCGUUUCGGGCGGCGUCCUCGGCGAUGAAAUUAUGUGUGGAGCCCGUGUCCAGGAGCGUGACGAGGGUGGUGGCGCCCAGGGAAGCCCGCACCUGCAUGGAAUCACAGAUGGGCAUACCGGCCACGGCUCUGAGUGAGAAGCCAUCGGCCACGGCUCUGAGUGAGAAGACAGGGGCUUCCUCCUGCUGAACGUCCCCUGCUGGUUCCUCGUCGGCAGCCGCGAUCUCGACGCCGUUGAGGUAGAAGAUGUGGCGGCAGACGCGGUUGUGGCCGCGGGUGUACGGUUCAUUGCAGUUGAAGCAGAGGCCGAGACGGCGUCGUUGCAGUUGAAGCAGAGGCCGAGACGGCGCCGUUCCGCCUGCUCUUCUGGGGACAACCGCUUCAGAGGCGGCCCAUCUUGUCGCGGCUGUGCUGCGGUCGCUGGGGGUGCAGGAAGGGUGAGCAGAGGCUGCUUCGGCGCAGGUGCUGGUAGCAGGGCACGAGGGGCGCCACAGCCGGCGGGUGGGGGUAGCCGUGCCAGCUCCAUCUGCUCGACCUGACAGGCGAGGCUCAUGGCCCCGGCGAGCGACUCCGAGUUGUGGAUGCGGACGGCGUGGCUCAACGGAGGAAGCAGGCCGCCGGUGUAGAGUUGGACGCGCUGGCCCUCGUUGAGCCGACCCGCGCGCGGCAACAGCGCCUAGAACCUGUUGGAGUAUUCCUCCACGGUCCCGGUGCGGCGACAUUCCGCCAGCUCGAACAGGGACGCCGAGCGAAGAGGUGGGCCGAAGCGAAGGUGGAGGAGAUCCUUGAAGCGUCCCCAUGGCGGUGUACCCUCGUCUUCCUGCAACUGGAUGGUACCACAGCUGUGCGACGUCCUCCAGAUUAUAGGAGGCCAUCCAGACGCGUUCCUCCGGCAUGGUGCGCUGUUGGCGAAAAUAGGAUUCACACUUGUUGAUGAAGAGCAUCGGGUCGGUCUUGCCAUCGAAGCGGGGGGAAGUCGAGUUUCUGGAACCUUGGGGGCCGGUCCAGAUCACGAGGGGGUUCUUCACGGCCGCCGCCGCCGUUGUCCGACGAGGACGACUUGUCCUUCAUGGUGGCCAAGUCGGUUUUCACGGAGGCCAGCUCAGAUUGGAACGACUUCAUCAUCUCCAUGAGGUCCUUGAGGGUCGGUUCAGCCAUGUUGGUGGAGUGGGCGGUGGAAGCAGUGGACGUGGACGGGGAUGGAGAGGGGCUGGAGCGGGUGGGAGAGGAUCUAAGCGACACCGAUACCAGGUUGUCAAGCGCCUCAGCGCCCAACGACGUCGGACCGCGGCUACGUAACUCGUAGUCGCGCUCCAGGCCUUCACCGUGAGAGAUCUCACCGGUGGCGAGAGGUUUAGGGAAAGGGGAAGCAACUUUAGGAUAAUUGAUCUUGCUUGAUUAUCUCCAAGUCUGUUACACGGCAUAUAUAGCCAAAGACCCAACCAAUCUCUCCUAUAAUUAAGGCAUGCAAAAGGAAACUAGAUCUUAUCUUUCUAAACUGAACUGCUGGCGGUGGCCCCUGCCAUAGCCGCGCGCCCUGCAGCCCUCGUGGCGUCACGACGGCGCCUAUAGGUGCGUCCGUACAUGACAUUUCUAUACUUAUUAAUUUUUAUAGACACUACAUAUACAAAUCAUUGUCCCAAUGGAUAGUUUCUAAAUAACAAUGUUUUAUCUAAUCACAUGCAUUCUUCAUUCGCUACCAAUCACAUCCUUUCAUAUCUUGUUUGUCGUGUAGACAUGGUUUUCUAACUUAGAUCUGGUUUUUGUGAUUUUUGUUCUCUCUUCAAUAAUUAUCUUGUCACAUCAGCAAAACGCUUGGAUUUAAUAUCCAUAGAAACUAUUUUUUGUAUUGGGAGUGCCCUAAGACCAUCGUUAGAGGGAGUUACAUGACCCGGUUUCCAUAUUGAAAUAGUACAGAAGAGUUCCUACUCCUAUGAAACUCUUAUCAUCUUUCUCUUCAUUAAUACAGUACCACAAUAGCAUAUUUAAUAUGAUGGAACUUUAAUGAAACCCCAUUGAGACUGGCCUAAGUGAAUGUAAUGUUUCAUGCUCCAAUUACUAAUACUAGUGUAGAAGAGUUUCAUCCCUCAUAGAACUAUCUCUACUCUCUUGAAACUUUCAUCAUCUCUCUUCAUCAAUACAGUGUCAUAUCAGCAUAUUUAAUUUCUAUGAAACUCUUAUGAAACCUUCAUUGAGAUUGACCUCAUGGGAGUUGGGAAUCAAUUCUAGUUGCAACGGCAUGACCGAAACUAGUGCGACAAGCACGCCCGCCCGCCCAUGUCUCUGUGGGUCAAUUUGCACGGCAGCGUACUCAAGCCUAUUGCCUUUGUGCCUUGGCCCUUGGCCAUGAGGGAAGUAGAGCACCUUAUUGGUUUUGGCCAUGUUUUUUUCUCUAUGUUUUCUCUUUGUGGUUCUCUACUUAUAUUUUCUUUUCCUGGUAUUUUGUGAUAAUAAAUAAAAUAAUAUGCCUAGAUGUUAUGAACGAGGUGGGUAUUUUGGAUAGAUAACUAGGUCUUAUGCUUUGCCAAGAGCUUUGGGAUAACUAGGCCUUAUGCUUUGUCAAGAGCUUGAGAGAUUGAGGGAGACUAGAAUUGUUUCUUCAUAAUUCAUUGCUUCCUCUCUAUUGUGCUCCAUGGGGCUGAAUAUAAAAGGUAUAUAGGACUAACACCUCUUGUGCGUAGACAAUAUGGUACUAUUCCUAUAGACAAAUAACUAAGAGAGACACUAAUUAACACUAAUGGGCUUAAGGCCAUGAGCUUAAGGCCCAACUAGGACACUUGCGCCCUACGUCGCCCCUCUUUAUGCCAAUGACAUCUGCCCAGCCCUUAGAGACCCAACUCGUCCUCGAGCUGGAGAGCUGACGCGAAAUAGGUUAAGCCUUUUAUAUCUCGGCUUCCCCUUUUUAUUGAAGACUUUACAUCUCGGUUUUCUCUUUUUAUUGAAGACUAAAAUAUAAGGAUAUCCACCUGGAUUUCAUGGGAAGAGCGCCUCUGCUGGCUUCAUGUAGGCUGAAGGGUGGAGUGUGAAGCAGGUGGCUCUUAUGCUGAACUGAAAGUGUCUAGCACCACGGCAGGCACAAGGAUGAAUGAUAUAGCCUUUGAUGCAUGAUACUGGAUGCUGAUGCGAGGUCGCUGCACUGGAAACGCCCAUACUUGGACCUCCACUGCAAUUGGAGCCGCAGGCCGUAUCGGCGAGUCCAAGUGGAUGAACACGUACGACAACGUCGAGCUGAGGAGCAUGCGUAUCUGCCGCACCAUGCGACGGACAAGCAUUCCUCGCACUGCUUCCUGGAGGCGCGCACCGUUGCUUGCUCCUUUGAUGCUUUUGUGGCACGAAGAGCCUGCGCUCAGUGACGUGCCAGGAGUCCCCGUGCUGCUGCCUGGAGGCGUACAGCUGCUCGGCGCUCACGGUCCUCAUUCUCGAGACGCACCCGGAGGCGAUCCAGCUGUGCGGUCAUCUCCGUAAGGCUGCGCAGGCAGUUGUCGACACCAAGGGGCAGCCGGUGGAGCGGAUUGGGGCGCGGAGUUGGUUUGAAGCGCCGCUGCAGGAGCUUGGUGAAGCGACGCCAUGCCGGGUAUGCAUCUUGCGUGACUUGGCGGAACCACUCGCGGGCAUCAGCUUUCAAAUUACGAGAAGCUAGCCAUACCCGUUCUUCCACCAUGCGCUCCCGGCGGAAGUAGAGUUCGCACUGGUUGAUGAAGGCCUCCGGAUCAGAGGUUCCAUCAAACUGCGGGAACUCCAUCAUGUACGGGCGUCGAUGGGUCGAGGUCGCGCCUGCUGGAUCGGCGGCGAGGGGUGAAGCCGUGGUCGUCUUGGAUCGAGGCGGCGCCUGCUGGAGAACGGGCGACGACUGCUGGUGGUGGGCUCGGUGGCGUGGAGGGGACGGGCGGCCGGCGCGGAGAGGAUCCGCGCGCAGAGGCGUCGCGCGGACGACGUGGAGGAGGGCCGCGCGGAUGGCACGAACAAUUCCCUGCCUUUCCUUUCCUCCCAAUCUUGGCCCUGAUCUCUGGUGUGGCUAAGAAUAUUGAGGCGCGGCGGCUUGGGGCUGUGGUGGUGGAUGACCGUGGAAGAUGGAUCGGCUGGCGAUCUGGAUUGAUUUUUUUUUGAUGUGGAGGAUUGGCAGCAGCUGUGUGAUACCAGAUGUUAUGAUGAUGGAUAUUUGGGAGGUAGAUAAGUAGGCCUUAUGCUUUGCCCAUAACACUAGACAAUAAAAAUGUGAAAUUUAGCUGCUCACGGGAACAUCUUCACCACACGCAGAAAGUUAUAAUCCUUUGUGGUUUUGUGCUAUGGACCCAUAUUCUGCUCUUAUCUGGCAUAAUUCUUCUAUUGAACAUGUGAUUAUCUAGUAUGAUGCUAUUAUUAUAUAUAUUGCUUCCUCCAUAUAGAAUUUAGAAGUCGUUUAAGACAUAUUCUGCUCUUAUCUGGCAUAAUUCUUCUAUUGAACACGUGAUUAUCUAGUAUGAUGCUAUUAUUAUAUAUAUUACUUCCUCCAUAUAGGAUUUAGAAGUCGUUUAAGACAUGAUUGCGCAUACCAAGAAGUGAUUAAUUAGGGGGGUAUUUUUUCAUGGUUGCCCCUAUUAAAUACAGUUGUGGGUGUAUUCUAUACAAGAAAGUUUUCUAGCUUGGCACUGUUUUUUAACUUGGCGCGCGUUGCAGGUGGCAUGGCACUGUGAUUUCAUUGCUUGGCGCUCAUUUUUUCAAACUUUUCUCAUGCCGCAGUGAGGGUUUGAGGCUUGGCGUUUUUUGUACAUUUCAUAGAUCAAAGCCAGCGACAUGACGCACUCGGAUGGUUGUCGCUUGGGUUACUGGAGUGCUAAGCCGCCAGCUAGCUAGCUUGGGUUACUCUGUCACCUACACGUCCGAUUCUUUUGUUGGGUUGAAUCGUAAUGAUCCUGGAUCAGGAGACGAUGAUGGAAACACUAAGUUUGAUCUCAACGAUCCUGAAGAUGACGACAACGACGCUGACUUUGAUCUCAAUGACCCUAAAGAUGAUGAUGGCGCCGCUGCGUUUGAUCUCAACAUGUGUUCGAGGAGGAAACAAUGGUAAUGGUCUUUCAUUUUAUGAUAUUCACAACAACCAUGCAAAGGUAAUUUUUUAUCGGUUUGUUCUUUUUUUGAUAGGAUUUGAUUUGAACUUGCCACUAGAUGAAUUUGGAGCUAUUGAUUUUGAUUAUGUAUAAAACCUUGCUGGUAAGCAUGGCUAAAUAUUAUGAAUAAGUUUAUUUAUUUGUUUAGAACAUGCCAUGACUAUUAGGCCCCGUUUGGCACGGCUCCACUUUACCAGUGAAGCUGUUUUUUUGGGGCUUUAGCUCUAUAAACAACUCUAUUGGUGGAGCCGGAGCCGUUUUGGUAAAUCAUUUGGCAAAACAGCCCCUUCCUUAAAAUAUGCUCUCGCAGAAUGCCGCGUAGGAUGAGGUGAAGUCGGGAGAAACCACUAUUUAUGGCUCCUUCGCACCCAAAGCUCUAUGAGAGCACGUUUUUAGGGGCUUCAUCAAUAGAGCCAUUUCAUUUUACCCUAUUUGGUAGAAAAUAGCUCCAAACGGCUCCUGAAGCCGCUGGAGAAGGCCUGUAAAAUGGGGCCUUAGUAUUAUGAACAUGCUGGUACGUAGAAGUGCUUGUAUUUUUCUUUUACAAAAGAACAUGCCAUGCCUUUCUUUUUAAUAGAACAUGCCAUGCCUAUUAAUAGAUUGCCUGUUUUUUCUUUUCUAUAGAACAUUACUUUCUUUUACUAGAAAGGUGCAUAUUUGUUCUCCAGUUGUGAAAACAAAUUUUUAACUUAUGCUUAAAAGACUAGUCAUCUUAGAGAUGUGCAUCAUACUACAGGGUGCACAUAUCAACCACAACACGGGCAAAACAAAGCUAAUCACAACCUACCUUCAAUUAUAGCUAUUCAAGCAACAUGGAGUAAAGCAUUACAUCUAACUGCACACAAGCAAGGUGACACACAUUGAUUUACAAGUUACUUAUUGUUAGAACAAAGACGGUGAAUAACUCAUGGGAGAUCAAGUGCUACAACAAACAGAAUCAGUACUUGGACAACCAGCAAGAUCAGCAGGAGCAAUUGGAUUAAGGCAAGUAUAACAUUUGGAUUUUAAUUCUGUGACUAUGAUCUUGUGACUAGAUUAAUGUAAAGCAACAAACAAUAAUAAUGACUUUUUAGCAACUUGAGGAGUUAUUCGUAAGUGAUAACUGGGAUAAAAGUGCAACCAUGAGGACGAUAAUGGCUCUGACUUUAGUCAAGUAUGAGUAAAUUUUCUAGAUUGUUAGAGGUUACUCGCGUGGCGCAAAUGGGGGAUAGCAGAGCGUGGAUUCCAUGCGUGGUAGAAUCACACGGACUGACUAAUAAAUCCAAGCGGCCCUAACUUGUUAGACGAACCUUUGAAAGACUUCAUAGUGAUCCCUGCCGACCUCCCUAGGAAUGGGGUUAAGAGGUUAGCUACCUCGAGCAAAUAGGUAAAUCAUGACUCAUGGUUAAAGAUGUACGACCUCUGCAGAGUGUUUAUUAAACUGGUAUACUAGCCGUGCUCACGGUCACGAGCGGCCUUGAGGAUUCUUACGUUAAAGGUGAUGUGUUAGGCUUGUGACCGACCACUUAGUUGGAUCCUGUAGAGUGAAGUUAAUAUCCGAAGUUUGGAGUUAUCUUCCGUGGUUUGCUGCCUAAAGUUGUUUCUGAUUUAUUAUAUACGUUAUAUAAUUUAUGCGUUGUCAUUUGAUUUUGUUGUUAAAAUCUGAGUGUUACAAAUACGUCGACUUCGAUGUUUCGUGGACCUGUUAGAAAUUUAAUAGUAUACAUGUACGGGGUCUGCAUUAUUGACCUAACAUAUCCUAAAAGAGAGCUGUCAAACACACGAGGCCGACGUGUGAGUGGAGAAA